UUCUUCUUUUGACAGAAUAAGAUAAAAGGCAAUAAAGAUGGAGAGGAGGGAGGAAAGAGCAGUGAAGUGGAAGUUUAAUCUGAGGGCAUAGAGAGGAGAAAAAUGAAGAUGGGAAAAACCUGGGACAAAGAGCUGAGAUGAGAAUAAAAGCAACCCAAGAGGAUGAGAGGGCCUGCCAAAAGUUCUCUGGGUUCCCAAGUAACUCUUCUGAGAUCAUGACCUGCUCAAGUUACAAAAGAUUUUGGUUUCCU
rnacentral:lncRNA from 1 species